CCUGCAAAGGGAGGAGACACCAGCGCAGCAAACGGCAGUAAUCGAUAUUGGUAAAAGAUAAGAAGACUCGACUGUAAAUAAAUAUCCCGGAUCUGUAAGGGAGGAUGCCACUGAGGAAGAAAAUGAAGACCCAUCACUCCUGUAUUCACCAAGCAAAGGUACCACUUCACAUGUUUAUCAUCACCCAGGUCAUCAGAAUGUGGCACCUUGUGAGACUACAUCUUCUGCAUCAUGUACUACACAGGGACAUCCUCAUGAUAUAUCUCAACAUCCGGCAGAUGGACCCAGACAGCCACACUUGAAGGUAUUUCCUCGAACAGUACAUGGUGAAAAGAAGAGGGCCUUCAACAAGACAUGGUAUUCACAGCACAAAUGGCUUGAAUAUUCACAAAGUCGGGACUCUGUCUAUUGUUUUGCAUGUAGACA